rnacentral:rRNA from 1 species
GACGAACGCUGGCGGCGUGCUUAACACAUGCAAGUCGAACGGAAAGGCCCUGCUUUUGUGGGGUGCUCGAGUGGCGAACGGGUGAGUAACACGUGAGUAACCUGCCCUUGACUUUGGGAUAACUUCAGGAAACUGGGGCUAAUACCGGAUAGGAGCUCCUGCUGCAUGGUGGGGGUUGGAAAGUUUCGGCGGUUGGGGAUGGACUCGCGGCUUAUCAGCUUGUUGGUGGGGUAGUGGCUUACCAAGGCUUUGACGGGUAGCCGGCCUGAGAGGGUGACCGGCCAAAUUGGGAAUGAGGUACGGCCCAGAAUCCUAAGGGAGGGAGGAGUGGGGAAUAAUGCACAAUGGGCGGAAGCCUGAAGCAGCAACGCCGCGGGGGGGAUGAAGGCCUUCGGGUUGUAAACCGCUUUCGCCUGUGACGAAGGGUGAGUGACGGUAAUGGGUAAAGGAGCACCGGCUAACUACGUG